rnacentral:rRNA from 1 species
AUGCUAUUUUGGAAAGAUGUUUGGUGGGGUGAGCGAUCGCUUGACCUGUCAUACCCCAAUCUGUUUGCAAUCGUGGGACAGCAGGAGGCGCGAGUUGUGGAUACAUGGGUGAACGGGCGCUUCCGCCCGUCUUUCAGGAGACCCCUUGGGCCUAGCGAAGCCUUGGAAUGGGAGGAUCUACGGGAGGCCCUGGCCUCGGUGCGGUUAUCUGCUGAGCGCGACGAGGUCCAUUGGCGGUUAGAGCCAUCAGGAGCCUUCUCUACCGGCCCAUUGUAUAAGGAAAUCUUCAAAGCCCCCCCAGUCUAUGAUCUGCGGUCGCUUUGGAAAGCAAGAAUGCCAACAAAAAUUAAAAUCUUCUUAUGGCAGCUGGCUUGGAACCGGAUUCCCAGCGGUGAUUAGAUCCUAAAAAGACACGGCCCGGGUGAUGGCUUAUGUGUUUGGUGCAGAGAAGAGGAAUCUAGCGGCCACAUAAUCUUCCGAUGCAUUGUGGCUCGGAUGGUGUGGAGCUCCCUUCGAGAGGCGACUGGAUGUAUGUGGAACCCGAGUGGUUUCGCUGAGCUAUAUGGGCUCAUCAUGGCUAGCAAUGCCCAGGAUCGAGAGCUAGCUUGGCUUGGCGUUGGGGCACUUGCUUGGUCUCUCUGGACUACGCAGAACAGAGCUACCAUUGAGGGAAUUUUCUUUAGACAUCCGGCAGAUGUUGUGUAUAAAUUGGUCAUUCUUUUGCAGCUUUGGAAGGGGUUGAUGAGACAACGAGACCGCCCCAGAGUGGAUCGUCUCAUCUCCCGUUUGAAGGCCAAGUGUGCUGAUCUCCGACGUGUCGGAUAG